CGCGGGAUGACUGGAAAGGCGCCCUCCACUUACGGGGUGAGACGUGACAGAUUCCUUCCUCCAACUCUUCUCAGUUUCGCUCAACUGAACUGUGCACUAUAACGCCAUGAUCAAACAAGUUCGGGCCUUGAGCAGUAGAUCUUCAUCAGUCAUGUUAGCCUAAUAAAAGGUGAAAUCAUGACUUAACAUUUUCAAUCUUAGCAGACAUUGACCAGCUCAGAUAAAUCAGAUGAUGACACAAGAGUACAUGAUAUUUAUUAAUGAGGUUCAAUCCUAACCUAAUAGACACACACAUUUACGUCUUACUAAGCAAGAUUGGACUCCUUACCUGGCACAUCCCCGACACUCUGAAGAACAUGUUCAUCUUCAUCUUUGUCUUGAAUUUGAUUUAUCUUCAUCUGUCUUGAAUUUGAUUUAUCUGCUCCAUAAAGAGAUAAUCGAUAAUUCGAUAUUAUCACCAAAUAGACAAACUUGAAUUCAUCUGGUAUGAAAAUAACCUUUUUUACUUGCAGUCAUAUGAACAAGUUAAUACAUCCAACAAAUAUUGUGUGUUCUUGUGUCAUCAUCUAUUAUGUUUGAGUUGAUCAAGGUCUGAUGAUUAUAUAAAAAUGUUAGUUGUGAUUUUGCUUUCUUUGGCUAACUUUUAUAACAAGUUCCAUACUCCGAUGCAAUUGACAUAAUGGCAGAUCUGAAUACCCUUAUUUCACCUGUCAAUGCAAUAUCUGCGCUGCACUGGACUACUGGUAUAAGGGAUUCUACCCUGACAAAUUACUUUCUUGAAACAGACUACGCUGGCUGAUCUCGUAAAACAGUACUCUUUGUAACAUCAGUACUAUACAUAGCGGCCGCAGGUGAAAUUUGGAAGGUUUGCAAACGGUAGCCGAGUUGAUUGAAGCAGACUGAGAGGAGCCUGCAGGCUGCAGCUGUCCUGAGCAGAAACCAACUUGAUAGAGAGAACCAGAUAUAUCCAAGCAGACGAAGGGUAACAUUAUUAACAGGUAUUUUGUUCUUUCAACUAGUAGCACAAUACUACUACAUAUGUAUUACACUUUUACAACUGGAUAGUGAACUCAAGAAAAAGGAGCUACA
rnacentral:lncRNA from 1 species